GGCGCUAUAGCGUCGUGCCUAUACCGGACCGUCGGUCGGCAGAGCGAACGUUCCGAGCCGUCGAGGCAGAGAAGGAACGCCGAGGCCCCGACGAGUAGGGGGGUCGCGACGGUGAGCGUAGAAGGAUCUGGGCGCGAGCCUGUCCGGAGCCGCCGUCGGUGCAGAUCUUGGUGGUAGUAGCAAAUACUCCAGAGGGAUCCUGGAGGACUGACGUGGAGAAGGGUUUCAUGUGAACAGUGGUUGGACAUGAGUCAGUCGAUCCUAAGCCGCAGGGGAAACCCGGCCUAGUGACAGGCGUGACUUCAUAUAAACGCCCGGGCGAGCGAGCAAUCGCAAGCCCGGGCGCCAAAAAGUACGAAGCGCCUACUAGUCGAGGCGAAAGGGAAUCUGGUCCUGAUUCCAGAACCGAGCUGCGGCUACGUCCGUACGUGACGACUCGUCGUCUCUACGGUCGCGGUAACGCGACACAGACCGGAGAAGCUGCCGAAAACCCCGGGAAGAGUUUUCUUUUCUGCUUAAGGGACCGACACCCUGGAAUCCCGUCGCGGGGCGAGAGGGUUGCGGAUACGGCUGUCAAAGGCCAUCCCGAAGAGCGCCGCGUUUCCGCGGCGUCCGUGGUCGUUUUCGGCUGGCCCCUGAAAAUCCGGUUGGAGGGCUACGUCAUUGGAUGUUCGCGCUCGCUCGUACCGAUAUCCGCAUCAGGUCUCCAAGGUGAACAGCCUCUAGUCGAUAGAAGAAUGUAGGUAA
rnacentral:rRNA from 1 species